GUUAAUGGGCUUGAAAAAGCAAUUGUUUUGAAAACAAUAGAUAGAAAUUAAAAUUUCUAUUAACUU
rnacentral:tRNA from 1 species